AGGAAGGAGGGUGGGCAGUGAGAGGUUUCAGCUAUUCCUUGUGAGCUUUCAGGCUGACCAAGAGUGACGGGAAAGCAAGUGAAUGAGAUGGGAGGAAAAGGACUGAGGCAAGUUCUGGCAGACAAUCCUGUUCAUUUCUUUCUUAAAGAAUGAGAAGUCCCAUUCAAGGACAGAGAUUAGUCCUUUCAUACAGCAAUCUUACAGGAAGGACCUUGAACCACUCAGUACCAUACCUGCUGUUCUGAUGACAUUAUCGAUAACCUCCCUGGGGACCGGCUCAUCACUAAGAAACCUGACAGAUCGCCUCUUAUUUAGAAGCUCAUAAAAUGUCUGUGACCUUUUAAUCAUUUCAGCCUCAGAGUAGCGCUCCGCAGUGAAGGGGACAUGGGCAACAUUUUCUUCAAGUCCUUGCCACUCUUCAUCAACAUCUGCAAGAAAACACAAGUGGUUAGGGAUUUUUUUGCUGGAGAAUGCUGUUGAUAUCCUUGGCAUUCACCGCUGGAACGCACUUUGUCCUGCAUUGGCGUACGCUUUACUUCGACAUCACUCCUAAGGCAAAGUCUGAGGUUCCAGUUGACACAACUCAUUGAUCCCUAGCUCCAGCUGCUGAAUAAACAUCUUGUUUAAAUACCAAGAGGCACGAGGGUCCUGGUUGGCUGUUGCAAGUGUGAUCCACAAAGAAGUCAUUGCUUUCUCCGCUUCAGCCUGCAAGCCUGCCUGCAAAAAUGGGUUACAAGCUGAAACAGCAGUGAAAAACUGGCUAGGCCUUCAGCCCACUUUUCUCAGCAAGUAAAUGUGAAUAUGUAUAUUCCUUCUUGAGCAGUCUAAUAAGAAAAAAAAAAGUCAAAUUACUGAAGUUAAGGAGAGAGCUUAACUACCAUUAUGUGAAAAAUCUCCUCUGAAGAGCUGAAUGUCAACUUCUUCAAUAUUCAUGUUUCAUAGCCAAAGCACUGCAAGUCUUAGCUCUGCAGAAAUGUGACUUUGUGGUUAAGCUCUUUGGUUUCCCAACACUUCCAGCAUAAGACAAAAUGGAUGACAGGCAUCUAUACUUAGGAUAACAAUAUAUCAAAUAUAGGAUAUUGUGCUUCUUAUCUUUAAAUUAAGAACUCUAAAUGGUUCCCCGUUUCACUGAAAUCUGUCUCUCUGGGGUUUUUUAUAUCACAAAAUGAAUCUUCUGUUGUCUCUGAGAUCUCUUUCUGCCCUUUAUUCCUAGAAUCAGCAGAGAUAGCAUUUUUUGCAGCUAUGAUGUGGAAGUUAAAGCCAUUUAAAUGCUGCAUUUUGACUAGUCGAUAGUAUUGAACAAUUUGCAACAGAGAGCUGAGUCAGGAAAAAUAUUCCGGUUCUUUUUCAGUCACCAUUAGGCUAUUAUUCCAGAAUCAUAGCAAUUUCCAGUGCAAAUUCAAACAGCAAUUAUUUCUGUGUUUUAGUAGUAUGAAGUUGCCUUAGAGACCAGGCUGAUUUUUUGUUCAUUUUAUAAACAGCAGUGAAAUAUUCACAAGUGUAUCUCAGCAUGUGCAAGAUUGUGAAAUAAAUCCAGUUUCAUACAUUGAAUCUAGACAGAAUUAUUCUGGUCCCCAAACAACACACAUUUCAUUUUGCAUACCCAAAGAAUUCUCUUUGUUUAGCAUUUCAUGCCUCUGUUGAGCACUCUUGGUCACAGUCUGCAAGGACCUGGCUCCACGUUAAUGCAAAGCAGUGACCUGCUGUAAAAAUUAUUUUUGCAGCGACCUGCUGUAAAAAUUAUUUUUGUGACCAUCUUGUACACUCAAGCUGAAAAGUAAAAAGGUGCCUCUUCCUAAUGUUCCCUUUGUGGUUUACACUUAGUAAAGUAGUGAUGAAUGUGUGCUCAUUUUGUGGUGUGGAGUUUUUUUUCCCAUGAAAGAAGAAGGGAAGAAAAAAAGUCCAAUUGCUGUUUGGUCAAGAUGCCUCAACUUAAUAAUAAGGUGAAAAAAGAAAUGUACUUUCAAAGAUUUUGAAUAUGGAAAAAAGGUGAGGCAACUAGUGAGAAUGAAAAACCUUUAUACCCUCCAACUGGGAAUACUGGCAGAGGGAGAAGAAGAACGCAGGAUUGAGGGAACUGACACACAAAAUCAAAACUCUCCUGGUAAUUUUUUUUUUAAUAAAUUCAUCUAGUAUUUAUUCUCCUCUACCAUGUGUCUACCAUUCAUUCUUAGCAGUUAACAUUAUCCAUAUGCUAAGAUAAAAUCAUUAUCAGCACCA